UUUCACUUCUCAGCAAUUGAUAUAAAGAAGUUUGGUUUUUCCAAAUGGCAAUUAUUCCAAGAUAUCUAGUUUUACAUGGUACUUAGUAAGAGAAGUCACAAAUGAGUUUUAAAAAUUAUAAAACAAGAAUUUAGAACUGGAAAUUUUUAUAUUAGAGCUACUCUUGAAAGAGCAAGUCUACUUUAGUACCUCAGACUAACUGCAAACUGCAGAAACCCAUGAGCAAUUCCACAAGCAGAAGACAUUCCGCUAUUUUCCCAGGACAAGGAAGCUGAAGCUUGGGAAAGGCAGUUGAGAGAAAAGAAAAGCAAGAUCAUGUCCACUCUGGAGAACACAAUUGAAAAG
rnacentral:lncRNA from 1 species